rnacentral:rRNA from 1 species
GAUGAACGCUGGCGGCGUGCCUAACACAUGCAAGUCGAGCGAUUUACUUCGGUAAAGAGCGGCGGACGGGUGAGUAACGCGUGGGUAACCUGCCCUGUACACACGGAUAACAUACCGAAAGGUAUGCUAAUACGAGAUAAUAUGCUUUUGUCGCAUGGUAGAAGUAUCAAAGCCCGGCGGUACAGGAUGGACCCGCGUCUGAUUAGCUAGUUGGUAAGGUAACGGCUUACCAAGGCGACGAUCAGUAGCCGACCUGAGAGGGGUGA